AGUGAACGCUGGCGGUAGGCCUAACACAUGCAAGUCGAACGGCAGCACAGUAAGAGCUUGCUCUUACGGGUGGCGAGUGGCGGACGGGUGAGGAAUACAUCGGAAUCUACUUUUUCGUGGGGGAUAACGUAGGGAAACUUACGCUAAUACCGCAUACGACCUACGGGUGAAAGCAGGGGAUCUUCGGACCUUGCGCGAUUGAAUGAGCCGAUGUCGGAUUAGCUAGUUGGCGGGGUAAAGGCCCACCAAGGCGACGAUCCGUAGCUGGUCUGAGAGGAUGAUCAGCCACACUGGAACUGAGACACGGUCCAGACUCCUACGGGAGGCAGCAGUGGGGAAUAUUGGACAAUGGGCGCAAGCCUGAUCCAGCCAUACCGCGGGGGUGAAGAAGGCCUGCGGGUUGUAAAGCCCUUUUGUUGGGAAAGAAAAGCAGCAGGUUAAUACCCCGCUGUUCUGACGGUACCAAAAGAAUAAGCACCGGCUAACUUC
rnacentral:rRNA from 1 species